AUUGAACGCUGGCGGCAGGCCUAACACAUGCAAGUAGAGCGAGCGGCGGACAGGGGAGGAAUGUGUGGGGAACUGCCUGAUGGAGGGGGAGAACAACUGGGAACGGUAGCUAAUAUCGCAUACCAUCGGAUGUGCGCAGAGGGGAUUAGCUAGUAGGUGGGGGACAGUCUCACCGAGGCGACGCUCCCUCGCUGGUCUGAGAGGAUGACCAGCCACACUGGAACUGAGACACGGUCCAGACUCCUACGGGAGGCAGCAGUGGGGAAUAUUGCACAAUUGGCGCAAGCCUGAUGCAGCCAUGCCGCGUGUAUGAAGAAGGCCUUCGGGUUGUAAAGUACUUUCAGCGGGGAGGCGUUACCCGCAGAAGAAGCACCGGCUAACUCCGUGCCAGCAACCGCGGUAAUUC
rnacentral:rRNA from 1 species